AAAGGAAUUGACGGGGACCCGCACAAGCGGUGGAUGAUGUGGUUUAAUUCGAUGCAACGCGAAAAACCUUACCCACCUUUGACAUGUACGGAAGUUACCAGAGAUGGUUUCGUGCUCGAAAGAGAACCGUAACACAGGUGCUGCAUGGCUGUCGUCAGCUCGUGUCGUGAGAUGUUGGGUUAAGUCCCGCAACGAGCGCAACCCUUGUCAUUAGUUGCUACGAAAGGGCACUCUAAUGAGACUGCCGGUGACAAACCGGAGGAAGGUGGGGAUGACGUCAAGUCCUCAUGGCCCUUAUAGGUGGGGCUACACACGUCAUACAAUGGCUGGUACAGAGGGUUGCCAACCCGCGAGGGGGAGCUAAUCCCAUAAAACCAGUCGUAGUCCGGAUCGCAGUCUGCAACUCGACUGCGUGAAGUCGGAAUCGC
rnacentral:rRNA from 1 species